UGGGGAAUAUUGGACAAUGGGCGCAAGCCUGAUCCAGCCAUGCCGCGUGAGUGAUGAAGGCCCUAGGGUUGUAAAGCUCUUUCACCGGUGAAGAUAAUGACGGUAACCGGAGAAGAAGCCCCGGCUAACUUCGUGCCAGCAGCCGCGGUAAUACGAAGGGGGCUAGCGUUGUUCGGAUUUACUGGGCGUAAAGCGCACGUAGGCGGACGUUUAAGUCAGGGGUGAAAUCCCGGGGCUCAACCCCGGAACUGCCUUUGAUACUGGAAGUCUUGAGUAUGGUAGAGGUGAGUGGAAUUCCGGGUGUAGAGGUGAAAUUCGUAGAUAUUCGGAGGAACACCAGUGGCGAAGGCGGCUCACUGGACCAUUACUGACGCUGAGGUGCGAAAGCGUGGGGAGCAAACAGG
rnacentral:rRNA from 1 species